UUGAAUACUCAGUUACAGUGCCAGCUAGGUGGCAAUAUCUUGUAGGGCUAGCACAAGAUUCUCUGAGAGGUUCUAUAUGCUCUAUAUAUUCUGCUGUUCUUCCAUAGCCAGGAUUCAUGGGUCCAGGAAUCAAGGGGUGGAAACCAGAGUGGAACCACUCACUUUUACCCCUAGUAAAGUUUUUCUUUCCUGUCCUUAUGACCUCAUGCACUCCUGGCCUAGAGGUCUUGGUUCCAAAUAGAAGAAUGCCUUUACUAGAAGACCCAACAAUAAUUCCACUGAAUUGGAAGUUAAGACUGCCAUCUGGCCACUUUGGGUUCCCCAUGCCUCUAAAUGGGCAAAGAAUGGAGUUCUGCGCUGGAUGAAGUGAUUGAUCUUGAUUACCAAGGGGAAAUUGGACUGCUACUUCACAAUGGAGGGGAAGAAAGAGCAAAGACUGAAGGAAGAGGCAGAGGCCACAAAAGGAUUCUGUGGCCAGAGGAUGCAGCUAGAACCCAGGAGUGGUGCAAUCUGAGAGAGUUCACAUGUCACUGCCAAUUUCCCAGUGAGCACUAUGGCCAAAUGAAGUACUGUUGAGAGACACACACAGAGAGAGAGAGAGAGAGAGAGAGAGAGGCAGAGACACAGGCAGAGGGA